GAGGUUGUGGCUCAGUGGUAGAGCGCUCACCUAGCAUGCCAUGAGACCCUGGGUUCGAUCCUCAGCACCACA
rnacentral:tRNA from 1 species